AUGCCUCCAAUCAUUUUAAGAUAAAAAGACAACAUGAACACAUGUAUAAACACAAAAUGCAAGCAUGCAAAUGAUGUGAAACUAACAUGAUGCAAAUGAUGUGAAACUAACAUGACACAAGUUGCCCGCUUGGCGAGGCUAUCAGCAUACAGGUAAGCAGUAUGGGUUAUGAAAUUAUGAAGCAGUUAAUAUGCUUUUGUUUUAUAUAUUGACAUACCUAUAUUAUGCUCCAUU
rnacentral:lncRNA from 1 species